rnacentral:rRNA from 1 species
CAAUAGCGUAUAUUAAAGUUGUUGCAGUUAAAAAGCUCGUAGUUGGACUUCUGCGGGUGGCGGCCGGUCGUGCUCGAAACGGGCGUGAACUUGGCGUGCUGCCCGCAUCUUUGGGGAGAUUGUGCGUGGCAUUAAGUUGUCGUGCAUGGGAUUCUCAUCAUUUACUGUGAAAAAAUUAGAGCGUUUAAAGCAGGCCUUUGCCUUGAAUACAUUAGCAUGGAAUAAUAAGAUAGGACCGUUGUCUAUUUUGUUGGUUUACAGAUGUCGGUAAUGAUUAAUAGGGAUAGUUGGGGGUAUUCGUAUUCAGUUGUCAGAGGUGAAAUUCUUGGAUUUUCGGAAGACGCACGACUGCGAAAGCAUUUACCAAGGAUGUUUUCAUUAA